rnacentral:rRNA from 1 species
GGUGAGUCGGGUCCUAAGGCGAGGCCGACAGGCGUAGUCGAAUGGAUGAACGGGUGGAUAUUCCCGUACCGACCAUGGACCGGCAAAACCGAGACGGUGAGUACUAACCUCCGCCUCGUGGUGGUUCCUUCCUUCGGGUUGGUUCCGCCGCGUGGUGUUGGGACCGUAGCCGCAGUAGGUCAGCGCAGGGGUGACACGGAAUGGGAGCCGGCCGCGGAGGUGGUUUUCCGUGGUCAAGCACGCAGCCAGUCAUGUAGGCAAAUCCGCAUGGCGCGCAUGGCGAGGUGUGAUGAUGGGAGCCGUUAUGGCUCGAUAUCCGGUUGUCCAGGCCGUCGAGAAAAGCCUCGGCGUGAGGGCCAUGGCCGCCCGUACCCCAAACCGACACUGGUGGUCAGGUAGAGAAUACCAAGGCGAUCGAGCGAAUCCUGGUCAAGGAACUCGGCAAAUCACUCCCGUGCCUUCGGUAUAAGGGAGACCCGCUGGGGUGAACCGGCUAGCCCGGGGAGCUUUGGUGGGUGGCACAGACCAGGGGGUAGCGACUGUUUACCAAAAACACAGGUGCAUGCGAAGGCGAAAGCCGCUGUAUAUGCACUGACGCCUGCCCGGUGCCGGAAGGUUAAGAGGAUCCGUCAAUCCUUCGGGACGAAGCGGUGAAUUCAAGCCCCGGUAAACGGCGGUGGUAACUAUAACCAUCCUAAGGUAGCGAAAUUCCUUGUCGGGUAAGUUCCGACCUGCACGAAUGGCGUAACGACUUCCCCACUGUCUCGACCAGGAGCUCGGCGAAAUUGCAGUACGAGUAAAGAUGCUCGUUAAGCGCAGAAGGACGAAAAGACCCCGGGACCUUUACUAUACCUUGGUAUUGGCGUUAGGCGCGGAUUGUGUAGCAUAGGCGGGAGGCUUCGAAGCGGGUGCGCCAGCAUUCGUGGAGCCGCAAGGUGAAAUACCGCUCUGUUCUCGUUUGACGUCUAACCUCGACAAGUCAUCCUUGUCAGGGACAGUGCCUGGCGGGUAGUUCAACUGGGGCGGUUGCCUCCCAAAGAGUAACGGAGGCGCUCAAAGGUCCGCUCAGCCCGGUUGGCAAUCGGGUGUCGAGUGUAAUCGCACAAGCGGGCUUGACUGCGAGGACGACGGUCCGAGCAGGGACGAAAGUCGGAGAUAGUGAUCCGGUGCCGGCGCACGGGCGCGGCAUCGCUCAACGGAUAAAAGGUACCCCGGGGAUAACAGGCUGAUCAUUCCCAAGAGUCCAUAUCGACGGGAUGGUUUGGCACCUCGAUGUCGGCUCGUCGCAUCCUGGGGCUGGAGCAGGUCCCAAGGGUUCGGCUGUUCGCCGAUUAAAGCGGCACGCGAGCUGGGUUCAGAACGUCGUGAGACAGUUUGGUCUCUAUCCUCUGCGCUCGUUGGAAUCCUGAGGAGGCCUGCCCAUAGUACGAGAGGACCUGGGUGGACGAACCUCUGGUAUGCCGGUUGUCGCGCCAGCGGCACGGCCGGUUGGCUACGUUCGGGAGGGAUAACCGCUGAAAGCAUCUAAGCGGGAAGCCUGCUCCAAGAUUAGGAUUCCGUACGGUCUUGAACCGUUGUAGCCCGCAUGUUGAACACGUGUUUGAUAGGCCGGAGGUGGAAGUCCCGUGAGGGGUGGAGCCGACCGGUACUAACGGGCGACGGCGACAUAAC